ensembl:rRNA 5S_rRNA 5S ribosomal RNA
GUCUAUGGCUAUACCACCCUGAAGAUGGUCGAUCUCACUUGAUCUUGGAAGCUAAGCAGAGUCAGGCCUGGUUCGUACAUGAAUGGGAGACUGUGGAAUACUGAUAUUUUAAAAC